rnacentral:rRNA from 1 species
GACGAACGCUGGCGGCGUGCCUAAUACAUGCAAGUUGAGCGAUGAAGAUUGGUGCUUGCACCAAUUUGAAGAGCAGCGAACGGGUGAGUAACGCGUGGGGAAUCUGCCUUUGAGCGGGGGACAACUUUUGGAAACGAAUGCUAAUACCGCAUAACAACUUUAAACAUAAGUUUUAAGUUUGAAAGAUGCAAUUGCAUCACUCAAAGAUGAUCCCGCGUUGUAUUAGCUAGUUGGUGAGGUAAAGGCUCACCAAGGCGAUGAUACAUAGCCGACCUGAGAGGGUGAUCGGCCACAUUGGGACUGAGACACGGCCCAAACUCCUACGGGAGGCAGCAGUAGGGAAUCUUCGGCAAUGGACGAAAGUCUGACCGAGCAACGCCGCGUGAGUGAAGAAGGUUUUCGGAUCGUAAAACUCUGUUGGUAGAGAAGAACGUUGGUGAGAGUGGAAAGCUCAUCAAGUGACGGUAACUACCCAGAAAGGGACGGCUAACUACGUG